AUUGAACGCUGGCGGCAUGCUUUACACAUGCAAGUCGAACGGUAACAGGCCGCAAGGUGCUGACGAGUGGCGAACGGGUGAGUAAUGCAUCGGAACGUGCCCAGUCGUGGGGGAUAACGCAGCGAAAGCUGCGCUAAUACCGCAUACGACCUAUGGAUGAAAGCGGGGGACCGUAAGGCCUCGCGCGAUGGGAGCGGCCGAUGUCAGAUUAGGUAGUUGGUGGGGUAAAGGCUCACCAAGCCAACGAUCUGUAGCUGGUCUGAGAGGACGACCAGCCACACUGGGACUGAGACACGGCCCAGACUCCUACGGGAGGCAGCAGUGGGGAAUUUUGGACAAUGGGCGCAAGCCUGAUCCAGCAAUGCCGCGUGCAGGAAGAAGGCCUUCGGGUUGUAAACUGCUUUUGUACGGAACGAAACGGUCCUGGUUAAUACCUGGGGCUAAUGACGGUACCGUAAGAAUAAGCACCGGCUAACUACGUGCCAGCCGCCGCCGUAAAAC
rnacentral:rRNA from 1 species